CAUAGGUUAAUGAGGCGAACCGGGGGAACUGAAACAUCUAAGUACCCCGAGGAAAAGAAAUCAACCGAGAUUCCCCCAGUAGCGGCGAGCGAACGGGGAGGAGCCCAGAGCCUGAAUCAGUGUGUGUGUUAGUGGAAGCGUCUGGAAAGGCGCGCGAUACAGGGUGACAGCCCCGUACACAAAAAUGCACAUGCUGUGAGCUCGAUGAGUAGGGCGGGACACGUGGUAUCCUGUCUGAAUAUGGGGGGACCAUCCUCCAAGGCUAAAUACUCCUGACUGACCGAUAGUGAACCAGUACCGUGAGGGAAAGGCGAAAAGAACCCCGGCGAGGGGAGUGAAAAAGAACCUGAAACCGUGUACGUACAAGCAGUGGGAGCCUCUUAAUGGGGUGACUGCGUACCUUUUGUAUAAUGGGUCAGCGACUUAUAUUCUGUAGCAAGGUUAACCGAAUAGGGGAGCCGAAGGGAAACCGAGUCUUAACUGGGCGUUAAGUUGCAGGGUAUAGACCCGAAACCCGGUGAUCUAGCCAUGGGCAGGUUGAAGGUUGGGUAACACUAACUGGAGGACCGAACCGACUAAUGUUGAAAAAUUAGCGGAUGACUUGUGGCUGGGGGUGAAAGGCCAAUCAAACCGGGAGAUAGCUGGUUCUCCCCGAAAGCUAUUUAGGUAGCGCCUCGUGAAUUCAUCUCCGGGGGUAGAGCACUGUUUCGGCAAGGGGGUCAUCCCGACUUACCAACCCGAUGCAAACUGCGAAUACCGGAGAAUGUUAUCACGGGAGACACACGGCGGGUGCUAACGUCCGUCGUGAAGAGGGAAACAACCCAGACCGCCAGCUAAGGUCCCAAAGUCAUGGUUAAGUGGGAAACGAUGUGGGAAGGCCCAGACAGCCAGGAUGUUGGCUUAGAAGCAGCCAUCAUUUAAAGAAAGCGUAAUAGCUCACUGGUCGAGUCGGCCUGCGCGGAAGAUGUAACGGGGCUAAACCAUGCACCGAAGCUGCGGCAGCGACACUAUGUGUUGUUGGGUAGGGGAGCGUUCUGUAAGCCUGUGAAGGUGGCCUGUGAGGGUUGCUGGAGGUAUCAGAAGUGCGAAUGCUGACAUAAGUAACGAUAAAGCGGGUGAAAAGCCCGCUCGCCGGAAGACCAAGGGUUCCUGUCCAACGUUAAUCGGGGCAGGGUGAGUCGACCCCUAAGGCGAGGCCGAAAGGCGUAGUCGAUGGGAAACAGGUUAAUAUUCCUGUACUUGGUGUUACUGCGAAGGGGGGACGGAGAAGGCUAUGUUGGCCGGGCGACGGUUGUCCCGGUUUAAGCGUGUAGGCUGGUUUUCCAGGCAAAUCCGGAAAACCAAGGCUGAGGCGUGAUGACGAGGCACUACGGUGCUGAAGUGACAAAUGCCCUGCUUCCAGGAAAAGCCUCUAAGCAUCAGGUAACAUCAAAUCGUACCCCAAACCGACACAGGUGGUCAGGUAGAGAAUACCAAGGCGCUUGAGAGAACUCGGGUGAAGGAACUAGGCAAAAUGGUGCCGUAACUUCGGGAGAAGGCACGCUGAUAUGUAGGUGAAGCGACUUGCUCGUGGAGCUGAAAUCAGUCGAAGAUACCAGCUGGCUGCAACUGUUUAUUAAAAACACAGCACUGUGCAAACACGAAAGUGGACGUAUACGGUGUGACGCCUGCCCGGUGCCGGAAGGUUAAUUGAUGGGGUUAGCGGUAACGCGAAGCUCUUGAUCGAAGCCCCGGUAAACGGCGGCCGUAACUAUAACGGUCCUAAGGUAGCGAAAUUCCUUGUCGGGUAAGUUCCGACCUGCACGAAUGGCGUAAUGAUGGCCAGGCUGUCUCCACCCGAGACUCAGUGAAAUUGAACUCGCUGUGAAGAUGCAGUGUACCCGCGGCAAGACGGAAAGACCCCGUGAACCUUUACUAUAGCUUGACACUGAACAUUGAGCCUUGAUGUGUAGGAUAGGUGGGAGGCUUUGAAGUGUGGACGCCAGUCUGCAUGGAGCCGACCUUGAAAUACCACCCUUUAAUGUUUGAUGUUCUAACGUUGGCCCCUAAUCGGGGUUGCGGACAGUGUCUGGUGGGUAGUUUGACUGGGGCGGUCUCCUCCUAAAGAGUAACGGAGGAGCACGAAGGUUGGCUAAUCCUGGUCGGACAUCAGGAGGUUAGUGCAAUGGCAUAAGCCAGCUUGACUGCGAGCGUGACGGCGCGAGCAGGUGCGAAAGCAGGUCAUAGUGAUCCGGUGGUUCUGAAUGGAAGGGCCAUCGCUCAACGGAUAAAAGGUACUCCGGGGAUAACAGGCUGAUACCGCCCAAGAGUUCAUAUCGACGGCGGUGUUUGGCACCUCGAUGUCGGCUCAUCACAUCCUGGGGCUGAAGUAGGUCCCAAGGGUAUGGCUGUUCGCCAUUUAAAGUGGUACGCGAGCUGGGUUUAGAACGUCGUGAGACAGUUCGGUCCCUAUCUGCCGUGGGCGCUGGAGAACUGAGGGGGGCUGCUCCUAGUACGAGAGGACCGGAGUGGACGCAUCACUGGUGUUCGGGUUGUCAUGCCAAUGGCACUGCCCGGUAGCUAAAUGCGGAAGAGAUAAGUGCUGAAAGCAUCUAAGCACGAAACUUG
rnacentral:rRNA from 1 species